rnacentral:lncRNA from 1 species
CCAAUUAUCCCGAUUAUACCCUCCCAUUACCUAUCAAUUGUUUCCUUUCCUCCGCUCUAUUUCCCUUCCUUUCCCUUUUCUCUGGCCCUCAUCUUCUUUCCCCUCAUGGUAAGUCAUUUUCACUUAUCUAAAGGAAACUCUCCUAGUAGUCCUUCUCGGUACUUGUUCGCUGAGUAUGAGAUGUCAAACCCAAAUUCUUCCAAAAUGGUUAAAUCAGAGAAUCUACCCCUAAUUCUCUUUUCUGAUAAUAUUGAAUCUAAUGCAAAUAGCAUUAUGAAUGCGAACAUGGGUAUGUGCCUUCACUCGGAUAUGUAAAAAAUUUUUAAGGUUGCCUAACAUUUCUCUCGUAAAGACCAACUUGAUGUUGUUGAUAAAUGAAAAAAGAACCAAUCUUAGGUGGAAUUCAUCUCUGCUCAUGGAUUUUCUAGGCAGGAGGUAAAUGAAUUCUUAGCUAAGGGUGUUGUUUCUAGGAAAGUGGAUGCCCACAAUAUGUUUGUGAAAAGUCCCUAGUUAGGUGGUUACUUUGGUUCUAAGUUUUUUGCUUCUGUUGUUCAUAAAUUUUUGAUGAUAAGAGAUGCAUGGAUUGUGUAUAUGGCAGAAUACGAUAUAAUCAAGACGAAUGUAUUUUAGUACUUUGGAUCAAUAGUACACGAAUAAGGAGGGAGAAGUUGAUGAGGAUGUAAGCCAUAUGAUUGUAGCAAGAUAGAUGAAUUGGUUUGGUGCAUUAAGAGUGUUGUGCUUCUAGAGUCAUCCUACUUUUUUGUGAUUUUUCUCUCACUCUACUAAUGGAUGCAAUUGUUCUAUGUGCAUGUGUUGGUAAUUUUUCAGCUAUAUUUUUGUUACCGAUUCUUAUGUAUUAUUUUAAACUGAUGUAACUGGAGCUGUCAUUUUCUUACAUUUGUUUUGUCUUUCUAGAUAAUGAUUAAACUAGAUAUUUUAUGUACAAGAUAUAUUGUCACCUAUCUGGUACCUUAAUAAAAGAGGUUUAUUGUUG